ensembl:snRNA U2 U2 spliceosomal RNA
AUAAUUUUCUCGGCCUUUUGGCUAACAUCAAGUGUAGCAUCUGUUCUUAUCAUUUUAACAUCUGAUACAUCCUCUAUCUGAGGACAAUAUAUUAAAUGGAUGCUUAGAACUAGGAGUUUGAAUCAGAGGCUCAGAUAGUAAAGAAUCUGCCUGCAGUGCGGGAGACCUGAGUUCAAUCCCUUGGUUGGAAAGAUCCCCUAGAGAAUGGAAUGGCAA